GUGCGGGAAAUAAACUGCUCACUCAACUGCAGCGGCACUGAACAAUCACAUCAUUUGGCCACUUAAUUGUCGCCAUAUGUGGUCCAGCACCAGAAUACGUUAAGUGAUAUUGACAAUGAAUACUAAUGUCAUGCAGUAUAAGUGAAUCUGCUCAUGCUGCGUGAAGUAAAGUAAUUUCCAAGCGAUUUGCGUCAUCAAACAAAUUGCCCGAUUCCUGAUUAGAAGGGAAAAAAAACAGUGAAAACGAUAUUUUAAUGAGAUUUAUCUCCACGCAUCGAUGUGUACCAUCGUGGCGCAUGCAUCCAACUCCGGGUCGGUGCAUCAAUGAGAGACGUUCGUACGUGAGACCACCACGAGCGAUUUGCCCGCGAGGUUGGCUUGCACCAGGCAGUACAGCAGUGCUCAGCACAGCAAUAGAAGCAGCAGCAGCAGCACAAUGUUGGCUGCCCACAGGAUUAGUAGCCAGGAACCUCCUUCUCACGCAGCCAAGAGUCUGCGUCUCCCCGGGCCGGGCCAGGGGCAGGGCGCGCGGAGCACCGCACUAAGCCGACUCGGCUGCUUAAACAGCGACAACUGCUGCCGCUGCCGCCGCUGCUGCUGCUGCUGCUGGUAAUGUGGCCGCCUCUUGGAUGAUGAAGGCGGCGAUCGUGCGAGCACCAUCUGUUAACAAGCGGCCACUCCCGCAUGGGAAUAAUAACGCGGCUGCACACACACACACAACGCGCACACACACACAAUGCGCACGCACACACAAUGCGCACACACAACGCACACACACACAAUGCGCACACACACACACAACGCACACACACACCUUGCACACACACACACCUUGCACACACCUCGCACACACACACAACGCACACACACACCUUGCACACACACACAACGCGCACACACACCUCGCACACACCUCGCACACACACGCGCGCGCGCGCGCCCUGCACACACGUGCUUUGCACACACACAGACAAAGAUCCCCCCGCGCCCUGUAUAGGCUUAACAGACUGUUGGGGCAAGUGCUGUUAGUGAGUGGCAAAACCACGGGGUGGUUUGGCCAAACAAACAAAACAACGCGCGCAGCCGCCUUUGUCUCCCCCGGUGGCAAUGUGAGCACCUCGCACGAGCUACCCGUGAGAGGUCGAGGCGACCUCGGGACAGGCCCGUGACCGGUUCUGAUAAUCGUCACAGGUGUUGGUGGUCGUGAGCGGGAAUCGAACUUGGGUGGCCGGGUUUGUAGAGCAGCGCGCCCACCACUGCGUCACAGCUCCCCAUUGUGUAAGGUACACACACACGCACACGUACAUGUGGCAAAUCCUACUAAUUACAUGACUUGAAAAUUACUCCGCAAUUUGCAGA